rnacentral:rRNA from 1 species
AGGAAUUGGCGGGGGGAUACUACAACGGGUGACGCGUGCGGUUCAAUUAGAUUCUACACCGUGAACCUCACCAGGAGCGACAGCAGAAUGAAGGUCAGUCUGAAGGGCUUACCUGACACGCUGAGAGGAGGUGCAUGGCCGACGUCAGCCUGUGUCGUGAGAUGCUCUGUUAAAUCAGAUAACAGGCGAGACCCGCGUGUAUAGUUACUACGUUAAGAGCACACUAUACAGACUGCCUUGGCAACAAGGAGGAAGGUGCGGGCCACGUUAGGUGAGUACGCCCCGAAUCCCCUGGGCAACACGCGCGCGGCAAUGCUGUAUGCAAUGAGAUGCGACUCUGAAAAGAGAAGCUAAUCCCAAAAUAUACAGCUUAGUUCAGAUUGAGGCUUGCAACUCAGCCUCAUGACGCUGGAAUCCGUAGUAAUCGUUCUUUAGCAGAGAACGGUGAAUAUGUCCCUGUUCCUUGCACACACCGCCCAUCAAACUAACCGAGUUAUGCUUUGUUGAAGCUUUUGAAGAAACUAAGCAUGACAAGGUAAGUUAAGUUGACACAAGGUAUCCGUAGGGGAACCUGCGGAUGGAUCACCUCCUAA